GAGCCAGAGUCCCGGAAAGAAAGACUGCGGACCCUGCUCCCAAGGUAGAAGUGUCCAUAUCCAGGAGGGCCAGAGGCCCAGACAGAUCCAUGGAGCUGGGUGGCUGCUCGGGGCUGACCUGCUGUCAUCCGGAAACGGCAGAAGGUCUCCCGGGUUGCUGCCCAAUUCCCUUGCCCUGUGGGCUCCACAAAGAAACUUUUCCAGCACCGUGGAGAAACCACAGUAAAUCAUCUAGUCUUUGCUUUGAGCCACAAGAUAAUUAAUCACAAUGAAUAUCAUUUUGGCAGUAGAGUUGCCUGUCGGAACCAAACGCUUUCACACAGUGAGCAGUCAGGGUCUAUAAUCAGACUUUACUGCUGGCAAGGAAGAAAUUCCUCCGAUCUAACUGUCCAGCAGUAUAGCACUGCUUCAGAUGAAUGGGAGCUCCUGCCACGCCUCGCACGCCUGCAACCCUGGGCUUCCGCCUCUUCCCAUACUUGGGACAUCUAGACCCUGACCCAAAGCCUUCAAAGCACACAGCAAUUUCAGAGCGCGAGUCUUACGGAAAACAAGAAAGCGAAAGGCAGAGGCGGCACGCGCCAGGCAUCACCUCACCGACCCUCCCGCGCCCCGGCGCCCGCCCGCCCCUCACCCGCGCCCGCGCCCGCCGGGCCUCCCCGCCCCCAGGAAUCCAAGAGCCGCAGGGCCCGGCCUGACUGCGGGGAGGACUGGCCCGCUGGCCAGAGAGAGGGCAGCGAGGGCGCAGCGUGGGUCGACCACCUCCGUGGCCCAAACCAGGUUAAAAUGGCGACCUCGCUCCUAGGGCCGCGCCCGGGGGCUCCGCUCACCGCGCCCUAGCCUCCCGGCCCGCGCGCCCGCCUUACCAUAGUGCCCGCGCUGAGACUGCGGCGGCGGCUGGGGCUCGGCGGCACUGGCAGGCGGAGAGGAGGGGCGGGCGGCGGCGAGUGCGGAGCACGCCGGGAGCUGCAGCCCCGGGGGGCGGGGCCGGCGAGCCGCAGGGCGGGGCGGUCACGUGGCCCUGCCCGGGCCUGCCCGCCACGCCCCAGUCUGGCCCUGGGGCGUCUGCACCCAGCCCGCCCCACCCAGCCCACCGCCCCUCUGGCGACCUCCGGAACCCCGGGGCGUGGGCUGGGCCCCGCCGUCCUUGUGCCGGAACGGGUGGCGCCCUCCACGGCGCUGCUCCCGGUAGUUCACCAAACAGGGCUGAAUUUCAGCGUUUGUGAAUCUCUCUGGGAAAGCCCCAAAUCUGCGUGAAUUGCUCAGCUCCUUCCUUCAUGGCUAACCGAGAAUAAACACUCAGAGCUUACUCAGUUGAUUGAAGGACCUAGCAAAAACAAAAUGCUAAACGGAGGUGAGAAAUAGCUAAAACCACCCACAGUUCCGUGGUUGAAAUAGUGAUGGAGGUGAGUAGUGGCGCUCCGCGGCGACACCGCUGACCUCCCGGCCGCCUGGGCCACCGCGUCCUGGCGCGGGAGCCGCGUGGAGCCGGGCCGCGCCCGCAGCGGCGGCCUCUCCCUCGCGGCCGGGCUCCUGCCGAGCCCUGGCGCCCGACCGACCGCGCUGCUUCUCAGACUUUUUUUUUUUGAUAAAUAGGGUAUCUCACUUGUCAUUAAAAAAAGUCACUUUAUGGGGCUGGGGAUUUAGCUCAGCGGCAUAAGCACCUGCCUUGCAAGCAGGCACUCGUGAGUUUGAUCCCCGGUACCGAUAAAAAAAAAAGUUACUUUAUAUCAUGAGGAAAUUUUCAAAAAUAGAGAUUGAAUACUUUGAAUUUAUAAUAAAAAUGUUUCAAACGAA